rnacentral:rRNA from 1 species
CCUACGGGAGGCAGCAGUGGGGAAUUUUGGACAAUGGGCGCAAGCCUGAUCCAGCAAUGCCGCGUGAGUGAAGAAGGCCUUCGGGUUGUAAAGCUCUUUUGUCAGGGAAGAAACGGUCUACUCUAAUACAGUGGGCUAAUGACGGUACCUGAAGAAUAAGCACCGGCUAACUACGUGCCAGCAGCCGCGGUAAUACGUAGGGUGCAAGCGUUAAUCGGAAUUACUGGGCGUAAAGCGUGCGCAGGCGGUUAUAUAAGUCAGAUGUGAAAUCCCCGGGCUCAACCUGGGAACUGCAUUUGAGACUGUAUGGCUAGAGUGUGUCAGAGGGGGGUAGAAUUCCACGUGUAGCAGUGAAAUGCGUAGAUAUGUGGAGGAAUACCGAUGGCGAAGGCAGCCCCCUGGGAUAACACUGACGCUCAUACACGAAAGCGUGGGGAGCAAACAGGAUUAGAUACCCUGGUAGUCCACGCCCUAAACGAUGCCUACUAGUUGUCGGAACUUAUUGUNUUGUACGACAGCUACGACGUGAGUAGACCGCCGUCGGGAGGUACGGUCGCGAGAAGUAAACGUAACGAAAGAAGUUAGACGGCGUGAGAGNGACGACGGACGACGACGAGGGAGGAGG